CCAGCCAGGUAUGGAAAUGGUCCAGUCC
rnacentral:piRNA from 1 species